rnacentral:lncRNA from 1 species
UAAGCUAAUGAAAACUAUUGUUACAGUUGUUCCCCUUUUGUGCUGUUAAGCAACUGUCCCAGGUUAGCAAAUAUAUUUACGUAUUGUCGUGUUUUUGCUUAUUCUACAUUGACUAGAAGUAAAGGGUUGAGAUCUCACAAAUAUAAAAAAAAAGAAAAGAUUUGAUGUGAUUGCCACUGAAUGAGACAACUCUUUACAAGAGACCAAAAUGACAAGGAGAAAACUAACAGCUUAACAGCCAUUUAUCGUCCCUUCAGACGGACUUUCAUCGUUUCUCAAGACCAUAUUCGCAAAUGUUGUCAAGGGAGCCUGAAAUGUUGGAAUGAGGAUCGAACCAUGAACCUUUGUGUUAGAAGUCCAAUGCACUUACUACUACACCACGACUUUCUUAAAAAAAGUUUAACCACGUCGCAUUGUUUCGCCUGUACCAAGUCAGGGGAAAAGGGGAAAGGGGGGGGGGGGUCAAGUCAGGAACCUCUGACCCUUCUUAAGUCUUGUAUGUUUUUUUUUUUGUUUUUUUUUUUAAUUUUAGUUAAUUUUUAUGUUUCAGAGUUUAGGGUAACGUAUAUUUUUCACGGAACUAGUAUAUAUAUUUGUUUAGGGACAAACCGAAGCCAGCCUCCGCGUUCGAGAUUGUCUCGCUAUGUUGAAGUACCAUUGAUGACCUUGUGCUGUUUUCUUCUCUUAGGUUGGAUUGUUGUCUCUGAUUCACUCUCACCACUUUCCUUCUCAAUUUUAUUACAAUCAUAUUUUUUAAGGAUAAUAUGGCCAGUAGAUUAUAAAUAAAAUUGAGAAUGGAAAUGGGGAAUGUGUCAAAAAGACAACAACCCGACCAAAGAGCAGACAGCUGCCGAAGGCCACCAAUGGUCUUCAAUGCAAUGAGAAACUCCAACAUCCGGAAGGGUGCUUCAGCUGGCCCCUAAACAAAAAUAUAUACUAGGUCAGUGAUAAUGGACGUAAUACUUAACUCCGAAAUAUACACAAGAAACUAAAUUUGAAAAUCAAACAAAACUUACAAAGGCAAAAGGCUCCUGGCGCAAAAAUGCGGCGGGGUUAAACAUGUUUUUUGAGAUCUCACCUCUAGCCAAUGUAGAAAAAACAAACACAACAAUAUGCACAGUAAAAUUCAGUUCAUAAAGAAGUCCGAAUCCGGUGUCAGAAUAGAUAACAAAAGAAACUAAGCAAAAUGACAAUGAUACAUAAAUUAACAAAGGACUACUAGUAGUUACUGACAUGCCAGCUCCACCCCUCAAUUAAACUGACUGCAAGAUUAUGUGUUCAUCAUUAGUAUAUGUAAAGACAAAACUGGUAUAAUUUAAGACAUUUAAAGAUGAAAUAAACACUAAUACAGAGAACAACUAUAAAUUAAAAUCUAUUUAGUUCAGCUUCAAUGAUGAAUAUCCAGUUUGUGGGGUCGCAGACCAUCUAAUGUCUUUUCACCUGGAAAUAUAAAAAAAAUCUUUAUUUCUACAUUAGAAUUUAUUACUUAUUAUUAGUCUUUCCACUAUUCUGUCUAUUCGCUUUUGAGACUGACCCUGUUUAGUCGAAGACUUUUAAUUGUUAAAGUUAUCUACCCAUACACUUUGUGGUGAGAUCUUCUCCGUAACAUGAAAG